rnacentral:rRNA from 1 species
CAGCAGCCGCCACGGGAAUACAGAGGGUGCGAGCGUUAAUCGGAUUUACUGGGCGUAAAGCGUGCGUAGGCGGCUAAUUGAGUCGGAUGUGAAAUCCCCGAGCUUAACUUGGGAAUUGCAUUCGAUACUGGUUAGCUAUAGUGUGGGAGAGGAUGGUAGAAUUCCAGGUGUAGCGGUGAAAUGCGUAGAGAUCUGGAGGAAUACCGAUGGCGAAGGCAGCCAUCUGGCCUAAUACUGACGCUGAGGUACGAAAGCAUGGGGAGCAAACAGGAUUAGAUACCCCAGUAGUCCCUGUCUCUUAUAC